rnacentral:lncRNA from 1 species
GCUGGACUGGAGAAAGCACUUCACGCUUCCCGCGUGCUCACCAAUUAUGUUACCUUGACUCUUGAAGGGAUCGAGCAACCGGGUCCCUCGCUCCGACGCCUUCAGCUGCCAAAAUCAGUGCCAGUCACUAUCGACUAAGCUCAUCAGUCCGGUGAAUUUCGAGAAGCUACGCAAUCAUCAUACUCUGCUCGACCUACUAGCUAGUAGCGCAGUGCAGUAGAGACGCACGGCGGUCAGCACCAAAUCAGCAGAGAGAUCACACCUGCAGCGAGCGACGACAGAGGGUGCGAUAAUGGCGACGCCGGCGCUGGUGCUCCUGCCGGAGUGGGGCUCCGGCCACCUCAUGUCCAUGCUCGAGUCCUGCAAGCGCGUGCUCCUCAGCGGCGGCGGCGGCGGCAAGGCCUUCU